rnacentral:lncRNA from 1 species
CGGGCUUUGUGCACUACUGGUCUUAGGAAGUACAAUGGUGGUUCCACGCGCAAAAAAUAAAAGGGGUGUACCAUAUGUACCCAGGUUGUGCUGGUGACCUGUAGUAUACUCCCCAUGUAUACCCCUAUGUUGUGUUAUGUAGCAGCAUCCUUGUUUAAGGGUAAACGCUGGGUUUUUGAACAAUGAAAUAUACCUGGGUCAAAUUGUUCUUUUGCAGAGAAAAAUGUACUCAACUCCCUGAACAUGCCUGGGUCAAAUUGUUCUUUUGCAGAGAAAAAUGUACUCAACUCCCUGAACAUGCCGAUUGGACUAGUUAAAUAUGAUAUUUCAUGGUUUCUUUAUGGUUGCAGCCAAGCAUGUCGCUAUAGUGUUUCUUGGAAUGGACAAAUUGAGCGCUAUAGUGUUUCUUGGAAUGGACAAAUUGAUCUAGACACUUCUCUUGGCCCAACUUUCAGGUAAAUCAUUUUGUCUUGCUGGCACUCAAGACAUUUGGCUUUGUUAGACCUUUUUAACAUGUUACCUUAUCAAAAUUUUGUUGCACAUGUGAAAAUUCUAUGCGUCUAUUUAGCCUUAUUGAUCAAACCAGAUAAUGAUAAGAAAUGAACUACUAGGUUUCUAGAACUCUGAUCUGACACACCUAUAUUUAGAAAUGGAGGGAGUAUAUAUAUACCAGAUCCCUUUCGUCCCGCACUGCACUAUCGCGCCCAAGGAGGAUUCAAAAGGGAGCAGCGGCGGCGAGAGGUCCUGCGCCGAUCGCAACCCUAGCCCAAGCACAUGCCGGUUGACGCUUCCGGAGGAAGCCGCUGCGAGCCUGCGACGUCCGAGGCCGACGGCGAUGCGCGGUGCGGCACUCGUUUACGGCCCUCAGCUAGGUCAACGCCGAAAUCUAGGAGCAGGCAAGUUGGCUAGAUCUCGUGGCCCUGGCUGUCCCGUCCCCGUCCCUGGGGUUCCGAGGUGCGCGACUGAUAUCCCGAUGUUCUAAUUUUUUUGAGGGUGCGACCAACAUAUAACAUCCCUUUUGGAUAGAUGCAGGAGAGGACGUACAUGAUGUUGCGGAUGAAUGGAGUCGGCGAGUGCAGCGAUUAUGGGAGCUCAGAGGACGGGAGCUACGAGCAUGAGCAUGAGGAGGAGCCGAAGCACCACCACCGCGUCCACCUCCAGGAGCACCCAGGUGGUGUCCAUGGUGAUGGGGAUGAUGAUCUCAAGGCUGAGGGUGAGGGCUACUUGCAAGGAUGAAGGCGAGGACGAGCUCUCCGAGGCUUUGGAGAGGAGGAGUUCGAUUAGGAUGACGAGGUGCAGGACGUGGAGCCAGCACUAGACCCUGCAGAGUACAGGUUGUCACAUGGCUUAUGCCCCUCGCUGGGAUCAACGAUUGUGAGUAUGUUUUGUUUUUCAGCUCAUUUCACAUUUCGCGUGGGUUGCUGUUGUGCCGCCUUACUUCUGCUUUGUAGGGCGGGCAGAGGAGCAUGUUGAUUAUCACAUAAAUGCUGCGCAGGUAGUGAUUUAUGUUUCCUUUUCUUGGAUGGAUUUAUUUUUUGUAUUUGAAGUUGGAAGUUGGGAGCACUCAAUUUUUGAUUAAAUGACCUUGGACCGACAACAAUGCUUAUUUUGUUAAUGCGUGUGACAUAUAGUGUAGUACGAGUAAAUAUUUAUUUUAAUUGAAGCAGUGGCACAAUUCCUUGGUAGAGCUAAAUUAUUCUCUGAUAUAGCAAUCAAAGUCAAAAGCAACUUAUGAUGUACUCCCUCCAUUCCAAAUUACUCGUCUUAGAAAUGGAUGUAUGUACAAUUAAAAUAUAUCUAGACACAUCCAUACAUGUGACAAGUAAUUCGGAACGGAGGGAGUAGAUAAUAUGCUAUAAGUGGUAACAUUUACCUCCUGCCAUGCUUUCUCCGGGGAUUGUGGCAUGCACCUCCAAUUCGUCUAAUUUAUGCGUGGUGAACUUUAUCUUUGUUCGAAUUGUGGUAUCGUGUUUUUUCUUACUUAUUGAAACCAGCCAAAUUUGACAGAGUACCUGACAUUUACAAAUCGGCAUGUUACUGAAGAAACACAUGAUUCAUGGCAAGGUUUAUCCAGAUGAAUACUCGUAUGAGGCAAGUUAUUUUUGCUUUAUUCCCUUUGGUGCCCGGGCUUGCAUCUGAAGUUCCAAGAUGCAAUGCUAAUGGUUCUAGAUUUCUAGUCAUGAUUUCAGGAAUUAGUUGCAUUGGGUGAAGUGGUUGGUACAGAAAGUAGAGGUCUCUCUGCUGAUACACUUGCUUCCUUAGCUUCAGUAACCUACAACACAAAAGAUAUGGAAGAUGGCAACAUAAAACAGUACGUUCAAAUACUUUUAAGUUUCAAUAUCCUUACAGUAAUAUAUAUGAUUAAAGUGGCAUGCUAACGUGUAAUUAUUGUUGGUAGACGUGUAAUUUGUCGCAGGGAAUUUGAGAAAGGUGAAUCCUUGGUUGCACUUCCCUACAAGCAUUCAUGCCAUCCUGACUGCAUUAUUCAGUGGCGUCAAAUAAAUAAGGUACAAUGCCACUUUCAACCUAGUUAUUGUUAGAACAUAUAGUUCCCCAUAGAUGAGGAUUGCCUAUGUUUUCAUGGUAUGAAGCAUAUCAGGCAAUCACACCUGCGCGAUGGAAAAUGUAGGGUUCCUUUGUACCUCUACUAUACAACCACACGUCUAUGCUUAUUAAUCAAGUCACCUGAAUAGAAAAUGUAGGGUUCCUUUGUACCUGCGCACCACUUUUUUUAUACAUAUUUUAGUAUUUGUAUUUUUAGACGUCUUGGGUCUCUAGAACUCAGGUUUGGUGAUAGUAUUUUUGUUUAGGGUUUUAUAUACUAGGCUAUUGGUAUUCCUUGUAGAAUUUUUGCACCUCCAACAGUGUAUGUAAAAAUGGGCAUUUCUAAAAAUUAAUUGAAAGUUCUUAAUGUAAUUUGUCCAUAGAUGUUUCAGCAGCAUACAUAUAUGGUGAGUAUUUACACGAUGUCUUGUGUGCAAUUAUCUAUAUGUCAUGACCAUUUACUUUUCACUCUAAAUGAUCAUGACCAUUUACUUUUGUGUUAGCAAAUUUUUAUUCAAAUUCAAGUUAAAUUGAAAGCUUCUGAUCUUGCUAACAUGUGUGUGUGAAUUCAUACUAAUGCUCAAAGUUUAGGUUCUAACACCCAGUUAAUGCUGAAAAUUAGAGUGUAAUGAUUGUGAUGUCUCAUGAGACUUGAAUAUACCAUAUAUGGAAGUCCCAUUUUAUAUUAUUGCACAUAUAGUAUAGAGAAGUAGAAAUAUGCAAAUGGACGAGCAUUUAACUUAUGUAGUGUUGUGUACAAGAAAUCAACGUUUACUCCUACCUUAUUUCUACCUGUAUAUACUGAUGUUGUUUAUCUCCUGCUGAGCUGGUUGUAACCUUGUUUCUGUAUGGUGUCCUCUUAGUGGGUAAUCCCCUGUGAGUUAUACAGGCUGUUGCUGCCAUGUUUUUCAAAUGUACAAAUUGGUCAUCAUCAUCUCUUCAUGAUUCACGAGCUUUCAGGUAAAGCAUCUUGUCUGACUGCCGCAGCAGGCCAUUGUUGCGCCUGAUAAAAUCUUGUGUGAUGUUGAUUUGCUUCGGGGGCAGUUCUUCUGCUUAGGUUUCUGGUUACUACGGGCAUAUUUCAGUAGGGACCUAGGUGUUUUGCAGGUUACUCUGGCAGCAUUUUGAUUGUUAACAUGCUACUUUGUAAAUAAACCAUGCAAUAAAGUUUUUCUAUUGUUACAGAUCUGGACACAACUGGCCUCCUCAACCUGUAGCUACAUGCAUUCAUGCACUACACGCAUGCCGUCUCCAAGGCUCCAACCUCGCUCGGCAAAGAAUGGCCAAGCAAGCAGAGGUAACGUAGCACUCGCCACCAAACGCUUCCGCGGGAGAGUCUCAUGGUCCUGCAGGUUUAUACUUUUUAGAGAUCGAGAGAGUGAGAGAUGCCGGCCAGUACAUGGAGGACCCAUCCAACGAGUCGAUCGGACGCCCAUCAUGCAGCAUCCUCAACCUCUAGCUCCUUAAUGGCUACCAGACGACCAUCUGGCUGCAUCCGGCCAGUACAUGAAGAUACCGAUCGAUCUUUGUAACUUCUACUAUUGUCCCUAUUAAUUGGUAUCAAUCGGUAUAUCUUUGCAAUUUUUGCUGGCUCCAAUGGGUAGAUCUGAGUAAUUUUUGUGAAAGUUCCUGGUUUUGUGUCUGUGUUCAAGCCACUUUUAAUUGUUGUGAAAAUUCCUGGUAUUGUGUCUGUGUUGAAGCCACUUUCUGACCCAGCAAAGAGAAGGAGGAUUCCGACGGAGUAAAUGAUGUGUUUUUCGCACCAGGUGCCAUUUCAUAUCCAGAACUCCCCCAAGGUAUGCUAUGAAUUGGAUCCAGCCUCAACUACAAAGGAACUUCUCCAAGUAGUUCCAGUUUGAUGAUGCCACAUAUGCUUGCUCUGACUUCUGUCCUUUCCUCCCCGCCCACCUUUCUUUUGUGGAGCAUGAAGAAGGUAACACUCAUCGGUCGUCUAUCUCUAUCCCUCUCCUUCCAUAGCUGGCCAACAGUAAGUGCUCCCAAUUAAUGAGCAUCCAUUCCAAAGAUUUUCUUCACAUGAAACGGUGUAAUGGAACAUUAAUCCAGGACAGUUGUGGCCGCGGGGAGGAUCUCGAAGCUGUAGGCAUAAGACCGAAUGGGUAGGUCGCGGAGAUGAGACGGCACACACGGCCUGCAGGAGACCAACAUGGCAGCUUGUUUGAGGGGAUGUUGCCCAGGCGAUGGGGCUCGAGGGACAAACAAACUCAUCGGGAUGGCUUGCGGUGGGCCGGGCUUUGUGCACUACUGGUCUUAGGAAGUACAAUGGUGGUUCCACGCGCAAAAAAUAAAAGGGGUGUACCAUAUGUACCCAGGUUGUGCUGGUGACCUGUAGUAUACUCCCCAUGUAUACCCACAUGUUGUGUUAUGUAGCAGCAUCCUUGUUUAAGGGUAAACGCUGGGUUUUUGAACAAUGAAAUAUACCUGGGUCAAAUUGUUCUUUUGCAGAGAAAAAUGUACUCAACUCCCUGAACAUGCCUAUUGGACUAGUUAAAUAUGAUAUUUCAUGGGUUCU